rnacentral:rRNA from 1 species
UACGUAGGCAGCGAGCGUUGUCCGGAAUUAUUGGGCGUAAAGAGCUUGUAGGCGGUCUGUCGCGUCUGCUGUGAAAAUCCGGGGCUCAACCCCGGACUUGCAGUGGGUACGGGCAGACUAGAGUGUGGUAGGGGAGACUGGAAUUCCUGGUGUAGCGGUGAAAUGCGCAGAUAUCAGGAGGAACACCGAUGGCGAAGGCAGGUCUCUGGGCCACUACUGACGCUGAGAAGCGAAAGCAUGGGGAGCGAACAGG